ACGCUGCCGCCAUGUUCAGCUGACCUCGGUCAGCAACAUGCCCAGGUAGCCAUGAUCUUCGAGGCUACGGCGCGGUUCCGUCAGCGUGAUCAGACCAGUUCGCAUCCGGCAUCCCAGUGCGAACAAUCGCCGAGCCAUCGGCGUUCUUGGU
rnacentral:ncRNA from 1 species